rnacentral:rRNA from 1 species
UACUCCUACGGGAGGCAGCAGUGGGGAAUUUUGGACAAUGGGCGAAAGCCUGAUCCAGCAAUGCCGCGUGUGUGAAGAAGGCCUUCGGGUUGUAAAGCACUUUUGUCCGGAAAGAAAUCCUUGGCUCUAAUACAGUCGGGGGAUGACGGUACCGGAAGAAUAAGCACCGGCUAACUACGUGCCAGCAGCCGCGGUAAUACGUAGGGUGCAAGCGUUAAUCGGAAUUACUGGGCGUAAAGCGUGCGCAGGCGGUUUGCUAAGACCGAUGUGAAAUCCCCGGGCUCAACCUGGGAACUGCAUUGGUGACUGGCAGGCUAGAGUAUGGCAGAGGGGGGUAGAAUUCCACGUGUAGCAGUGAAAUGCGUAGAGAUGUGGAGGAAUACCGAUGGCGAAGGCAGCCCCCUGGGCCAAUACUGACACUCAUGCACGAAAGCGUGGGGAGCAAACAGGAUUAGAUACCCUGGUAGUCCACGCCCUAAACGAUGUCAACUAGUUGUUGGGGAUUCAUUUCCUUAGUAACGUAGCUAACGCGUGAAGUUGACCGCCUGGGGAGUACGGUCGCAAGAUUAAAACUCAAAGGAAUUGACGGA